CUCUCUCUCCCGGUAACUAGUAUAAAAAUCUGAAAUCUCCCAACUUUGAAUUGUAAUCGAAAAACCCGAUUGUUACCGUUCUCGAUAAUCCUCGUGCUCCACGAAUAUACGUAUGUGUCUACAUAUACGCACGUACAUAUAUGUAUAUAUAUAUAUAUAUAUAUGCUUUGGCAAAUAUCCUCUUUCACUCAUUCAUACUCUCUUUCUUUAACUAGUUCGACCAUCGACCACGACAUUCCUAUUUUACGUCAACUCGAAGAGAACGUUCAAUCCAAAAAUAGUACCAUCGUCGAAUAGUUCCAUGGGGUUUCCGCGAAAUGCGAACGGGAACUCAUUCUUUCGGAAAACAGUCUCCGCUUUUCCGUCGACAACUGGAAACUCCGUCUUUCGCGAAGAACCAGGGAAACGAACAGUGUCGAAAUAAUUGUCGUACAAAACAUUCACGCCAGAUAAUAUUCAAAAUACAUCGAACGAUUUGUCCCAGUUCUCUAUAAUAAACGGAUCAACGCGAGAAACGAAGAAAACCUAUUCAAGAAAACAAGUGACAAUGUACAAACGACAAGCGAGCAGAUAAGAGAAUACAACGCUGAAAAAACGAAACGAAAAGAAAAGAAAUAUUUUAUACAAAUAUACUUCUGCAUCUACGGGGGCCACGUCAGCCACUCAUGUCCAUUUCGAACAUGGAUUGGAAAAAGAGACUGCCUUCUCUCUCGCUCUUUUACACACACGUUUUAUCUCUUUUUCUCUAACGUCGCCGAGCCACGUAGCCGCACAACAAGCAACCAUACAUUUGUGUACAUAUUUGGCGUAAACCUUUGAUUCGUAGUGUUUAAACGUGUUUAUUAUUAUUCGCUAAAAAAUAGAUUCGUGUAGCUCGAUUCGCGUUCCUCUCGUAAGAAAUCGUGCACGAGCCCUCGAGAUACACGGAUUCGAAAUACACGGGUCGCACGGCGAUUUAAAACCGAUUCGAAACCGAUUCCAAAUCGAUUCGAGACCAAUCUCAAAUCCUUGGAUCAGCGUGCGCUUGAACGGCACUCAUAAUUAGAGUUGCGGUUCGAACGAGCGAAAAUAUAUUAUCUUCGGGUAUGCUUUCACCUACGUAGAAAAUUGGCUAGGCAUCUUUCGAACACACUAGACACUGGACGCUACCGCUACCUGCGUUCUCCUCGCAUCGGAUCGGACAGCAUUAUUAAAGACUGAUGUUUUCAACAUUUUACGAACAUUCGUUCAUUCGUCGGUUAAUACUCGACUACAUUUGCAGAAAAAACGUAUAUGCCUUCUCAAGUAAAUAAACGUUCGAAACAAUAUCGUCGUUUCUCCAAGAUUCGUACAAUGUUAACCAACGAGUUAAUCGACGUUCAUAAAACAUCGAAAAUCCUUUGUUUUCUGUAUGCAAAAUAUAACUGGGAUCACAUGUUCAAGGUAGCUCUGGCCUAUUCGGAUUAUCACUCUCUGCGAUUCGAUGCGAUGAUCUGUGCGUCUGACGAUCAUUGCGGUAAGAUUCUUUCUCUUUGUUUGUUUCAUUUUCACACGUGCUCGUUCUCCGAUAUCGGACGACGGAAGUUCGUCCCGUUGGUGAACGCGCUCGGCGGUACUGAUAAAGAUGGACCUAUCGUCGCAAAAUGUUGUUAGAUGUUCGCCUUCGCGGCGCUAGCUUCGAAAGAGGCACCGUACUCCCUACGAGAAAGUUAUCAAGAUUUUUGGAAGAUCCGGAUAUUAGUCGAACGGUGAUCGGGCUCGUUUGAAUUAACCCUCGCUCACCGAGGAGAGCGAGCUGCGCGUCGAGCCGGCCGUGUGAUGCGUCAAAUCCGGAAGAUCCGCCGGCAAGCACAACGGUAUCGCGCUUGGUCCAUAAAUCGCCUCCUGUUCCUCCAGCUGUAGAGCGAACUGCUCUUCCAAUCUCUGAAACGUGAAAUCGACACCGUUUAGAAAGCGAUCGGGCAUCCCGACUCGCGGGGAUCAACAAUUCCCCACUUUCGUCUCGCGGACCAAGUCAAACUGAAUAUCAAGACUGCAAUUGAAAAUUUCAUAAUGUUACUCGACUUCUACUAGAUACUCGAGAUAUGUAGCGUAAUGCCAUCAACGUGGAUUUAUUCAACUGACCUUGUUCUCUUUACCUAGGUAGAUCGUUCUCUGAUUAUCCACUCGUGGAAUCUCUUUUUUAAGGUUCUUAUCAGGAGCAUGUAACGCAAGGGUGGUUGCAAUGUAAUCGAACGUACACAUUGGAGACACUUAUACAUACGAGUGGAACCUGGAUACGAACACGUGUAAGCGUUCAACCCCGCGGACAAAUCACUACUCUUCCGAUCAGUAUACAAAACAUAGAGCAGUUACCACAAAUCUCACCACCGACUCACCCCUAUUAUGUUAUCGGAUAGUUGCACCCGGACCUCUCAACAAUAUUACCGAGAAUGAGUAUCACAAUCGACAAUGAGUAUCCAAAGGAAUGCGUAACAAAGUUGGCAAGAGCACGAACAAUUUGCGACACGAAAGUGCACGCGAGGCACACGUGGUACACCGAGGUAGCGCACAAUAUUCAACGAGUUAAUCGACGCGAACAACCACACGCUCGCCUAGCAUCUCACGACGCUAAACCACCUUCGAUUAUCAAUGAACAAGCUCCUGUUUUCUCUCAACGAUACGUACACAUACUCGCCGAGUUUCUAGUGCCCAAAAUAUACGGCCAAAUGUACAAUGUUAUAAAUUAAUGAACUCUCUAUAAUACCACUA